AUUGAACGCUGGCGGCAGGCCUAACACAUGCAAGUCGAGCGGAUGAAGGGAGCUUGCUCCUGGAUUCAGCGGCGGACGGGUGAGUAAUGCCUAGGAAUCUGCCUGGUAGUGGGGGAUAACGUCCGGAAACGGGCGCUAAUACCGCAUACGUCCUGAGGGAGAAAGUGGGGGAUCUUCGGACCUCACGCUAUCAGAUGAGCCUAGGUCGGAUUAGCUAGUUGGUGGGGUAAAGGCCUACCAAGGCGACGAUCCGUAACUGGUCUGAGAGGAUGAUCAGUCACACUGGAACUGAGACACGGUCCAGACUCCUACGGGAGGCAGCAGUGGGGAAUAUUGGACAGUGGGCGAAAGCCUGAUCCAGCCAUGCCGCGUGUGUGAAGAAGGUCUUCGGAUUGUAAAGCACUUUAAGUUGGGAGGAAGGGCAGUAAGUUAAUACCUUGCUUUUUUGACGUUACCAACAGAAUAAGCACCGGCUAACUUCGUG
rnacentral:rRNA from 1 species